rnacentral:rRNA from 1 species
AUGAAGCGAGAAGGCGUUUGCACGAGAAGCCAGACCAAAAAGCAGAAAGCUUGGACAGCUUGGCGAGGAAAUUCGCUUCUGGACAAUCCGUUUGAAGAGGAAUUUGGCAGCUUAAGUGAUUCUGGCCAAGGUGUCUGGACGGAACUCAGUAAAGAAGUCGCCUCAAACUUAGCGGGCACUGUUGUAUCGCUUGCUUCAUUUGCUGAUGAAAAGACAGUGUUUUUUGCAUGCACGGGCAUAAUUAUCGUAAACAAGCCUACUUUUACAAGUUGUCUGACUUCAUUAAGUUUGGUUAGAUCUAUUGAUGAUGACACCAAGAUCCUUCACGAUAUGACGAUUGAAGUGCGCCUUCCGGAUAAUAAACUUGAACUGGGAUGGUUGGAAUCCUACGAUUUGAAAUACAAUGUUGCGGUUAUCAACAUCGGUCGCUACCAUUCUCUUCAAGUAACAUGUCUAGAUCAUCAGCGGCAAUUUGAGUCUCACAGUAAAGUAGUUGCCGUAGGGCGUUGCUUCAACUCAGGAAAACUAGUGGCCACAGCUGGGAUGUUGACCGACAAUCCACAAGGAGCUUACCGGGAGGAGCUUGCCAUCUCCACAUGUGAAAUUACUAUGACUGGAGUUGGAGGGCCCCUUGUUGAUUUUAAUGGGGACUUCAUCGGGAUGAACUUUUAUGCUGAGAAAGAGACUCCAUUCCUACCAAGGAUUAAAAUUCUUGAACUCCUGUCGCAGUUCAGGAAAACAAUUCAGUGGAUGGCUACAAAUAAGAAAGGACCUGGUAGUAAAAUUGAAAGAUUUCCUAGACCUUGUAAACCUGAUUCAGAAGUCAGCUCAAGGAAGGGAGAGAAACUUAAGGAUCAGAAACCUUCCAUAUGUACUCUCUGUGAUCCAGAAUGUCAACCAGGACUCAUGGAUAGAUUAUUAUUAGAGCGGAAGUCUUUAUGUUCUGGGCGGCCGAGUUAUCCUUAUUUUGGCGUUCCUACAAAAAAGGAGCUGAGGUCCAAUGGUUAUCCCCUCCCAGUUUGGCAGAAUGUGGGCAUGCGUUUGCUUAACAAUUUUGAAGAGAAAUUUAGUGAAGAUAUCUGGAGUAAACUCGAAAGAAACGUUGCUUCAAAUAUGUCUCAAAGUGUUGUUGCAUUGGCUUCAUUCAGUGGGGACUGUUGCUAG